AGUGAACGCUGGCGGUAGGCCUAACACAUGCAAGUCGAACGGCAGCACAGAGGAGCUUGCUCCUUGGGUGGCGAGUGGCGGACGGGUGAGGAAUACAUCGGAAUCUACUCUGUCGUGGGGGAUAACGUAGGGAAACUUACGCUAAUACCGCAUACGACCUACGGGUGAAAGCAGGGGAUCUUCGGACCUUGCGCGAUUGAAUGAGCCGCUGUCGGAUUAGCUAGUUGGCGGGGGGAAGGCCCACCAAGGCGACGAUCCGUAGCUGGUCUGAGAGGAGGAUCAGCCACACUGGAACUGAGACACGGUCCAGACUCCUACGGGAGGCAGCAGUGGGGAAUAUUGGACAAUGGGCGCAAGCCUGAUUCAGCCAUACCGCGUGGGUGAAGAGGGCCUUCGGGUUGUAAAGCCCUUUUGUUGGGAAAGAAAUCCAUCUGGUUAAUACCCGGGUGGGAUGACGGUACCCAAAGAAUAAGCACCGGCUAACUUCGUGCCAGCCGCCGCAGUAA
rnacentral:rRNA from 1 species